AGAGAUAGAUAUAGAGGUAGGAAUUAGAGAUCCCAGUAGUCCUAGCCAUAAACGAUGGAUACUAGGUGCUGUGCGACUCGACCCGUGCAGUGCUGUAGCUAACGCGUUAAGUAUCC
rnacentral:ncRNA from 1 species